AAACUGCUGAAUGUCAGCGAUGUGUUGCUGUGUGGUUUUUGUGACUGAAAGGGAACUAUACCACCGUGUUGAAAAGAGAAGAAGGGGAGGAGACAGAACAACCAAUAUGAAAUAUAUCAUAGCCAGUCGAUCUAGUGAUGAGUUUAAACGAACACACACCGCAUGUGUCCAGCUAGGAUGACUUUGUAAAGUCAGAAUGCAUUGCUUUACAACCUUAGCACCACCACCCCCCCAAAAAAAGAGAGAAAGAGACCUGAAGCAAUGCUCAGCUGAUUCAUCAGGAAAACCACAAGCAUGUCUACAUAGAGGAACACUCAGCAAACACUGAAACAGCAGCUUCCUGUGCGCAAUGGGGGCUCGUGCACUUGGAACAUGAACUGGGUUUCAGGAAGGCUGUGGCACUCUUGUGACUGCUUUUCACAGAAAAAGCAGGCCUGCCAUGUCUCUGGUGCAGAUCUCCAGCAGUGAAUGUGACAGGGGCUCUGGUGCUGUAAACCAGGUGGCAGCUGGAGUGUACGUGGCAUGCUGGCAUGCUAUUUGUGAAGCGUGCUAUUUGUGACACAGCACUGGUCCAGUUACACCACAGUUCAGGAAAGGGAACAGGAGACAGCCCACCAACAGAUACCAGAGGAGCUUGAACGCAGCAGCACCGGCUGAAACAGCGGCUGUGUUCUCCGAACUGCAGUGGCAUCCCCAAUCGAGGAGAGCGAGCAGGGAGAAACAGCAGGAGUAUCCAAUCCCCAAUCGAGGAGAGCGAGCAGGGAGAAACAGCAGGAAUACCUAAUCCCCAAUCGAGGAGAGCGAGCAGGGAGAAACAGCAGGAAUACCCAAUCGAAGAGAGCGAGCAGGGAGAAACAGCAGAAGUAUCCAAUCCCCAAUCGAGGAGAGCGAGCAGGGAGAAACAGCAGGAGUAUCCAAUCCCCAAUCGAAGAGAGCGAGCAGAGAGAAACAGCAGGAGUAUCCCAUCCCCAAUCGAGGCGAGCGAGCAGGGAGAAACAGCAGGAAUACCCAAUCAAGGAGAGCGAGCAGGGAGAAACAGCAGGAGUAUCCAAUCCCCAAUCGAGGAGAGCAAGCAGGGAGAAACAGCAGGAGUAUCCAAUCCCCAAUCGAAGAGAGUGAGCAGGGAGAAACAGCAGGAGUAUCCAAUCCCCAAUCGAGUAGAGCGAGCAGGGAGAAACAGCAGGAGUAUCCAAUCCCCAAUCGAGGAGAGCGAGCAGGGAGAAACAGCAGGAGUAUCCAAUCGAGGAGAGCUAGCAGGGAGAAACAGCAGGAGUAUCCAAUCCCCAAUCGAAGAGAGCGAGCAGGGAGAAACAGCAGGAGUAUCCAAUCCCCAAUCGAGUAGAGCGAGCAGGGAGAAACAGCAGGAGUAUCCAAUCCCCAAUCGAGGAGAGCCAGCAGGGAGAAACAGCAGGAGUAUCCAAUCCCCAAUCGAGGAGAGCGAGCAGGGAGAAACAGAAGGAGUAUCCAAUCGAGGAGAGCGAGCAGGGAGAAACAGCAGGAGUAUCCAAUCCCCAAUCGAGGAGAGCGAGCAGGGAGAAACAGCAGGAGUACACAGAGGAUGCUGGGUAUGAACAGGUGAGCAGAAGAGUACGCACACUUUAUUUAGACUAGCGUCUUAACCUUACUGUGAGGGUGCAGCAGGGGGAGGCGGAGGGGUGCGAAUGAAUCAAACACUAUGGAGGGGUCAGUUGCCAGUCACCGUCCCAAACAUUCAGUUAAUUAAUACAUUUCUAAAUUGAAGUAUGAAUCCUACAAACCU